rnacentral:lncRNA from 1 species
UUUUAUUAAUGAUGCUGAGGAGAUAACAACGAACUGAAAAGGGAAUUCAUUUUGAUAAUUUCCUUUCUUCUUUUGUUAAUUGCUUGCUGCAUCUCUUUCCCUUUAAUUUCUCUGCAUCUGUUGUUGGAACUUGCAACUCUCAGCUCUGCAACUCUGCUUUGGGAUUGUUCUUAAUACACACUAGCAAAAGAGAAGGCUGUGGGUUUGGGUGUUUGUGUGUCUGAGAGAAGGAAGCAAAAAGUGGUGUAGUUUCCCAAUAUUCUAAUAUGCAUGUAUGAUCAGUUCCCUUAUACAAACACUUAAGAAUAUUUUCAGCAUUUUUAGCAGCUUAUUUUAUAGAGCUUAUGGUAUCACCUUUUUUAUUCAAUCUCACUUUACUUUAUUUAAGUGGAUAAUCACACUUGGUGUUUGGGCAUUUGGGCAUUUGGGUCUGUAUACAAAUUUGGAAUUCCUUUAGUUUAGUUUAUUGUGAGUCUUUGUGAUGAUACCUCAGACCACAACCCCCCACAUUUUAUUUUUAAUAGGAUCAUCAUAAUGUGGGAUUAGCCUAAUAGUUAAUGAGCAGUCUCUUAAUAAAGCGUGGGAUUUUGAUUGGGUUUUUGUUUUGUCUUGGGUUUUAUUUUUUUAUUUCACUUUCCUUUUAAGGGAAGCAGAGUUCAUAAUGAAUAUUAAAUGAGAUGACGAAAGGACCACUGACCAUUGUGUCUCUUGUCCAUACCACCACCACCUCCUCAUCUGGGUUGUUUUGGGUUUGGUCAUUGGUGAAGUCAGUAAUCUUGUUUUAUGGGGGGGGGGCUGAGUCUUGUUUCCUCAGCCUCAAUGCCAACCACCCAAGCAUGGGUCUGUGGUUAGAGGAAAUGGGUAUAGCUGGAAGUGUGGGACCUUUAGCCAGCUUUUAGGUUUUUUUUAAAUCUGAAAAGAAGGCAUAUGAUUAGGGUUUUUUCUGAUUAAAAAAAUAAACCACCAAAGAUCUUCUGAAUUACUCAAAAAAAAUUGAAGGAAAAAAGAAAAGCAGAUUCUUGGGUCUUGGAGCUAUCAGAUAAGAUCUCUUUAGUCAAGUUAACCAUGGCCUUUAGUGCUGGAUAUUUGGGCAACAUCCAAUGUGAUUUGGUAUUAAAAAAACCAAAAAGAAUGAAAAAGAAAUUCAACCCAUUUAAAUUUAAGGUGUGAGGAACUAGGGUUUUUGUUUUUGGGGUUCCAAUAAUUUUGUAUAAUUCUUAGUUUUAGCUGUUAUCCACAGCUUCUUGCAUGUGCAAUAAUGCAGUACCAAACUGAAAGAGUAAUAAUGGAGAAUUGCAUAAUAAGGGAGUUGGGGUUUAGCGAAUGAAGUUUAAACUUGGUGCUUUGCAUUUGAGAGGCAGCUUUCUAUUACCUACCUCUGCGUGGUGUGUUGGAGCCUUGGUGCCCCCACCACCCCACAUAUGAUUAGAAAUCUGAACUUAGUGUGAGUAAUUGGUCACCAAAAACUGAAAGAUCUGCCACUUAUUCAUAAUUCUUUUACUGCAUUUUUGCCUGUCUCCCUCCCUCACUUCUCUCUUCCUUGUCAAGCUCUUGCUCCUUGGGUUCUCUGUCUCUACUAUGGCCCCCAUUUCAUAUUCUCGAUGAGCAGACCCAUAGGGGUACCAUCAUUCACUCUGGCUCCGCUCUUUGUACAUUAUACUAAUGUGGGUAGUGUGGGUGGUAUCAUCAGGAAAUUUUAUUCCGUAAAGACAUAAGAUUGAUCGUGGUAGCCCACCUAGUCUCAUUUUGCAGUGAUGAUCAGUAAAAUCCACUAUUUGUAGAUGCAAUAAGAGGCCACUGUUUAGGAUUCGGUUACUGUACAAAAAUAUGCUUGUUUUCAAUACUUAAUAAGAAGACAUCCCCUCUCACAUGGUGUCCUUAUCCAUUUUCAACUUCCAUUGUUUAUAUUUUUCUAUUUUAGUCUUGUUCGUCUGUAUCUUAUGAUCUAGAUUUCACUAUAAAUAUUUAAUGGUUCUGAUCUUUUGUUACAUAGGUACUGUUAUGGCACCUUAGCAUUUUCAUAAUGUUUAUGAGCUUAUCUUUCCAACAAUAAUGCCAAUUGGGAGCCACACAUUGACUUUCCAAUAUGCUUCUUUUUUCCCCUCAGGAGGCAUAAAUGAUAAAUGUUCUUUAUUUUACAUAAUAUUAUAAAAUGAUUAUGUGGUACCAUUCUGGCCUCUGGUACAAAAAAUGGAAAAUUUUCUUCAAUUUUGUACAAAUUAUCUGUAUUCAUUUUGGUUGGAGAGGGUUCGACCCUGGUUGGAUUUUGUGGAAUCUUAUGAUAUUAUGAAGCAUUCCCUAUCCAUAUAUAUUGGGAAAAGGAUUAAAUUCUUCUAAACCUAAUUGUCCACUAAAGACUAUGGUGCUGCUCUUUGGUCACACAUGCAUGAAGCUCAUAGAAACAGCUAUCACAAUGAUACUUUUAAGAUAAUGAAUGAGACACUACUACAAGAGUACUACUAUGCAUUAAUGUUAAUAAAGCUAUUUUACCUAACAUAUAUAAUCGACAGAUAUCCUUAAUUUUGGUAAUUAUUCACACAUCCAGAGCUAUAGAAGUUAGGUUCCCAAUAGGAAUAGCACUGAAGCAGUACUGCUCUUUAACUGGUUUUAGUAAUGGGAAAAAUGAACCAAGGCCCAUGACCAUUUCCAAGGGACUGAACCUUUUUUUUAUCAUGUUCCAUGUGGUGAAAUUCAAGAAGAGUGAUACUCCUCUCUGGAAACCCAAUUUCUUCAUAUGGGCAAAACCCUAAAAAGAGGAAGGUGAAUACCAGACACUGCACAUGUUCCACACAUGCGGUUUCUUUUCAAACGUGAUGAAAUGCAUUGAUCAAUUGUAUUAAAAUCGAGUUAUUAUAAAUGGUAUUAAAACCGAUCUUUGAUUUCGUGGGAAUUUGCUUGAUUUUAUGAGGAAUAUUUAUCUGUUUGAUUCGACAAACACGUUUUGGCGUUACAUAUGCUGUGUGAACUAGGGAGAUGCUGGCUGUUAUUUUUCGUCCUUAGAUUUUGGUGUUCGGAUGCUGAAAGAAACAGAAAGAGAAAGUGGGAAGUGGAGGGUUGCUUUUUUUAAUAUAGGGGGGCUGAGUUGAAGUUACUGAGUAGCUUAGCUGGAAAAAGUGGGAUCUAAGUUUACAGGCCAGAGGUUUAACCUCUGGCAUGUGCAUGGUUGAUUGACCACCAUCUUUAAGAAAAAGGUGAAAGGAGUCAUGCAGACAUAAAUUGGGAGCAACACUAAUUGCAAGCCUACGGAGGACCACACGCCUUUACUUACGACACGAAAAUGAGUCAUUAGUGCACUUGUGAACGAUGUGGUCCUGAAUAUGGCGUUUUCUCGAUUUAUGCCGAUGGAUGACUCCCAUGUUUGUGUUUUUUGCAUCGGCCUUUUUCUAAGCAAACCCGAAACCGUGUGCUUAAUUACUAUAGAUUAGGAUGCUUAUAGAAUGUUUUUAGUUGAGAUGUCCAAUAUUGCUUUUUCUAAAUUUUUUUUUUUUUGAAAAAUGUUGUUUAAAUUUUCUGCGAAUAUUUGAUUUUUCUUCAAUAACAAUUUUUAUGUUAGAAGUGAUAGGUGCCCCUAUGAGGGGGCAAGUUGCAAGGGCUCUAUACACUCAUGUGCAAUAGGAGGCAUGGACUCGUUCUUUGUGGGAACUAUUAAAGGAGAAACAACCCACUUGUCUAUCUCAACUAAGGAACCAGGCUGGGUACGGCCUAUUAGCCUUGUCUCACACGUUGGCUUCUUCCACCAAUGGAUUAGGUCAAGAUUUUGCUGCUCAAGGUCUCUACUUUUGGGGCAAGGGACAGUUUCAUUUGAAUUAGGGGGGACUGACCCUAUUUAUUUUAGGAUGUACAUUUAUAACAUGUGUCAAUAAUUUUAUAACAUGGGCAUGUACAUUGAUGUGAGUUGGCUUGUUCAGAGGCUUUGAAUGGGCCUCAUCCCUUUCUAUCUUAACAUUCUCACUUUCUUUCUGGCCCCUUGUGCAUGCCCAUGGACUUUGCCUUCUAGUUGUCUACGAGCCCAUUCAACAAUUGGAUUUCUUGCCCAAGUUUGGGUGUAUUUUCAAAAAAAUAUAUACAUUGUAUUUAUUGUAAGCCAUGCUUAAGAGAGUUUUGUGACGGUCAAAUACAACCUUUUAAAAGGAUAUUUAAUAGAACUUUCAAAUGCAGAUAUCACAUUUCUCAACAUGGUUUAUGGGUUUUAGAAAAGUAGACAAAUCUAACUAAUUAUAAUUUUAUUUUAUUUUUAAAGAAAUUAACUAGAAAAUUAUUUUUUAAUAUUAUCUUUUCUUUCUUUAGUACUUUCUAAUAGGGAUGGCAACGGGGCGGGUUUUUUCGGGUACCCGCCCCUAAUGGGACGGGGUUGAAAUUUAAUAAAUGGGUUUUUAGCGGGUAUGAGAUAUUUUUUUUAAACCCGGGACGGGUUCGGGGCGGGUUCGGGUAUUGCCCCAUCCCGCCCCGCCCCGCCCCGUUUACAUAUAAAAUCAAUUUUAAAAUUUAAUUUAAUUUAAAUUUUAAAAUUAAUUUUAUUUAAAAUUUUAUUUUACUAUUUUUAAUAUAUAGAUAAUAAUAAAAAAAUUAAUAAAAUAAGUUAUAAAAAAUAUAAUAAUUUUAUUAUUUAUAAAUAUAUUUAUUUUAAUGUAAUUAAAAAUUAAAUUUUUUUUUUUUUAAAAAAAAGAGGCUAAACGGGGUGGGUUUGGGAAAUUCCCAAACCCGCCCCGCCCUGCCCCGCCCCGUUUAAUUUUUUAAACGGGACGGGGAUGGGAAUUAUUUUUAAUAAACGGGGCGGGGUUGGGAUGGGGGCGACCCGUUCCGAACCCGCCCCGUUGCCAUUCCUACUUUCUAAUAACCAAAUAUAACAUGGAAAUUCUUAUAUAUGAAACCGUUUCAUUUAUAACUAAUCUUCUUCAAGUACUAGGCUAAUUUAAGUUAUUUUGUAAACCAUGGUUGGGGGAGUUUUUUAGACUUUAAAAUAAGCAUUUGAAACUCAAAUAUAAUUUUUUUUAAGGACAUUAAUAGAACUUUCAAAUACGGGUAUGACAUUUCUGCUGACAUCUUAAAUUUAAGUAAUGAAAGCAAUUUUUAGAGUUAAAGUAUUAACUUUUAUGUUUGGACGCUCUGAAACCUUAAAUUCCAAGUAUUGAAAACGAUCUUGAAAUUGUUGGAAGUCUUGUAAACCCACGAUUUUUUACGCAAUUUUCGCUCGAUGACUUAACCUCAUUUUUAGCAUACUUCCAAUGGAGAGGAAAGAUGAGUAGAAGUUAUAAUUCUCUUUCUGGAUGGUCGAAGACAAAAAGUGAUAUAAAUCUUGGGGUAUAGGUUCAUAACUAGGCUUAAGUGACUUGAGUCCACAUGAGGUUUGGGUCAUUUAAUUUAGCCUAAAUUAAGUUUUAAUUAAUUAAUUACUUAACCUAACAUGGUCCACUCAUUAAUCAAUUAGCUAAAUUCAAAGACUUUGUUCACUUAUUCUUGUGCAACCUUAUAUAAUUACUAAAACGCCUUUAUACACAAAAGUGAAUUUAGAGUCAAUCUGAACUUUAUAACUCAUACCAACAAGGUAUAUGAGCUUAGAGCGAGGACUAUUGAGACUCAUAGGAGUACUAACUCCCUCAAAAUUCAAUUCUAAAAUUGAUUCAACAUCCAACUACAAAGAAUCAAUUGAACUCCAGUAUCUUAUAUAAAUAACAAUAAGGCAUUAUGUGCUUAGGUUUGUGGUUUACUAUUUGUUGAGUUUAAUCUUUCCAUGAAUUGGUGUAUUUGAAAACCAACUUUACUAUCCUUGAGUUAUAAACUCUCUUUUUGUAUAUUCAACUAACAUGUCUUAGUUUCAAAAAACCUAUGUCAAGUUUCUCUUAAAAAACCAUUAUGACUAUAGUUUCUAUGAACACACCUCAUUUGAAUCACUCAAGGGGACACUCUAUCUCAAUCCCAUGAGCUAUCAUGGUACCUCUAUUGAGAACACAUACUGCUAUCGGUUUCCAACAACACUGACCUAAUCUAUAAAGAAUAUAUGAUCAAUUUAUGAACUUAUUAACAGGUCAAAGCUAUUGGUAACUUUAGCAUAAACUCAAUAUUAUUUCAAAGUUAAGAGACAACAUAAUGAAACAACUUAGUGAGGUUAUGACUACUUGAUAAUGUUAAGUCAUGACUCACCAUAGGUUUUGUUUAAUGUGCAAUAAAUACGCAUUAGUGUACUCAUCAUGGGAAACCAAUUCUAAUAGCCAAAACUAGCCAUCUCUCCAAUUGAGAGGUGGUACACUACAACCUCUAAUGGGUUACCUAAGCCUACGAAUUGACUAUGAACAAGUUAUCUAUUUAUAAUAAAAUCUGUGACUUGAAUCUUUUGUGUAAUUCUUAAUACACCCAAGUUACGCACAAUGCAAAAGAUGCAUACAAGAAUGCUUAUAAAGUGUAAUACAUGAAACAAUGAUAGAUAAAAGUGAAUAUGAAAUAUUAUUAAAUAAUGAAUUUCAAAUUUUGUUACAUCAUGUCAUAUUUUUAAGAACUCCAUCCUAACAAUUUUUUAAUGAGUUUUAUGUGUAUUGAAAAAGUAAUUCAAGAGACUUAAAUGUGGGAGGAUUUGUAAGAAAAUAUUGUAUUUGAUUAAUUUCUUUAAAAAUAUCAAUUUUAUCCUUGGUUUUUUUAAUUUUUUUAAUUUUUUUUUUUGUUAAAGAAAGUUUUCAAACAUAAAAAUCAAAGCUAUUGCAAAUAAACCUCUUUAUAUAUGUAUUGGGUAAGGUCCUUGAUACCCAAAAAUGACAAAAUUAUAUCUUAGGAACAAACUCGGAUAAAUUCCCAUCCAAAUUUUUACCAAUUUUGAGAGAAAAAAAAAGUAUCCCAAAAGUACCCUUAAUUUCAUCACAACUUUGAACAAAGUAUGCUUGAUAAUAUGCUCUUUAUUUGAUGAUGAAAAGUGAAAAUUACAUAAAUACCUAAAUUUCAAGAUGAUGGAAUCACCAGAUAUGACUACUCUAAAAAUGCUAGGAAACGAUUCAUUAAUAAAUAACCUCUUCUUUAGAUGUUCUUUUCUUCUUCUCUUAAUGAUGUUUUUGUUAUCUUCCUUAGUGUGUCCUCCAAUAAGAUUACUCGAGUCCAUUUGCACAUGAUCAUAUAUACAAUUCUCUCCAUUGAACGUGUACCUAGCUACUUGUUCAUCUCACCCUCUUUGAGGUGUUGGCGAGAGUUAUUGGUCUUGAUGAGGAGAUACUAAGCUUUCCAUACCCAAAAGAAUGAAAAAGAAGAAGGUGGAAAACUCUGAAAAGAUGAGGAUCAAAGCUACCUUAAAAAUAUCUUGUUAGGUAUAUAUAUUGCUGAAUUCGAAAGCCCUUAUAUCCCAAGAUGAGUUAUUAGUUACCACUUGUGCAUGCAGUGUUAUAUCUCAACAUUACUGGCCUAACAAUUCGACUAUUAUCUCACCAAUUCAGUAAGUAUUCAUACCCCAGAAACAUGCAAGGACUACUUUUGAUAUUGUGGAUUUGACAUCUGCCUGACGCAAAGGUUUGCUCUCUCCAUGCUCGGAGCCAGAAUCGAGCACUUAAUUGCUUACACACCUCACAUGGCAAAUAUCUUACCAUAGGAUGAUGAACCUGAAAUUCUUGAAGCAAAGGAGAAAAGAAAAGAGAGUUGGUGAGGAGUUUGAGUAUCAGAUUGGUAAGAUCUUCAUCAGAUGUGUUUGCAGACCAAAAGAGCUUCUUGUCACUGCUGAAUGAUACUUUGCAUGGUUAAGUUUGGCCAAACACAUCAGUUUGAUGUUCCUAUUUUACUUUUGCAUUACCAACAAAAAAAAUAUUUUUAGGUUUAUAACGUUUGAGGCUUUUUCCUUUUNNNNNNNNNNNNNNNNNNNNNNNNNNNNNNNNNNNNNNNNNNNNNNNNNNNNNNNNNNNNNNNNNNNNNNNNNNNNNNNNNNNNNNNNNNNNNNNNNNNNUUUUUUCCUUUUUAGCAAAGGAAAGAGGAUUAGGAAUCAAGUAACAUCAAUUAAACUAGAUGAAAAAAAAGGCUUUGAUACUUCAUUAUGACUUUUCUAACUCUAGACCUCUCUUUUAGUCCUUCCUUUUUUUGGUCGCUUAAUUAAUUAUCAAUUAUAUUGACCAACCAAAAGAGAGAAGAAAUCAAUCCUUAUGAGAUCAGUGGGUUUGUUAACUUAAGCUUUAAUCAACUUUUAAGGACAAGGUUAAAGAACUAUUGUCCAUUAUAACAACCAACAUGAUUAGAUAUGUGGGCCUCUAGCCUUGAUAAAUGCAAACGGAUUUUUCCAUACAGAUUAGACUGCAUUAUCUAGGAUUUAUGCAGUGGAUUUUUGUCAAAGUGCCAAGGAUCAGCACUUACCUAUAAGUUGAUGCUAUACAAUCCGUCAAAGUUCAUUGAUUAACAUUGCUAGAGACACUUUUCUCUGUUCAUAUGAAAAAUAAUUCCCAAUUUUCAUUAUUUCAAGAUCCCCCCAUCAGUCGAUAUGAGCCACAGGAAAAGCAUAUCUUGAUAAAAUUAUGUCCUAUGCUAACUUAAUUAUUAGGUUUAGCUCAAGUGGAACUAGGAAUGGAAUAAACCUAGGUAGCGCAAAAAUGAACAGUAUAGGCUCAUUGAUUGAUCAAACAAAGUAGUAAUCAAACAAAUGAAGGUUCUAAUCCUUUAGGGUUUUCGGUGUUUGCUAGGCAGAUACUAUUAUAUCACUUCGUUGAAAUGGUGCAACUUCUUAUACUUGCAGAUGGUAAAGUUUUUUUUUAUCUGGGGUUGUCCAUUUAGAUUCCUUCUCUCCCUGGCUUACGUUUCUUUCCACUUUGAAGUAAAAACUCAAUCUCUAAAGAUGGUGUAUAUAAAGCCUCAUGGCUCAUGACUCUUAUCAAUAUCCUACUCUAUAUGCUAGCAAACCAUAGUAAUAACGUGGCAUAAAAGAGCCUUGUCUCUUCAAAAACACAACUGUACACUUUAUUUCCUCCAAUCAUGAAAGAAGAACAAUAGAAGACAAGUUCAAUCAAGUCCAUCAGAAACAAUCCCAACAAUCUCAAACUGAAAACCCAACAAAGGAAAAACGAUAUUAGACAAUUCUUUACAAGAACCACAUAUGUAAAUAUGUGUUUGUUAUUAAAAUCCUAUCUCCCGUUUGAGGGAGCGGAAGAGCACGGGCACAAGACCUCGGUUUCCACUUCCCGCCUGUGGAAGUUCCUGUGGCAGCCGCAGGCUGCGCAGAUGAGUUCACUGCUGGUUCCCUCUUGGCCGCUCGCCAUGAACUCCCUACACCCAUCAACAGCAUGCCCUCCAAUGCCUGCAGCGUGAUUCUUCUGGCACUCUCCAUACCUCACACUCCUCACUGUCAAAGAUGAAUUAGUUGAUCUUCUUGACGGCUCAUUUCUCCUCAGCACAACUUGCCGGUGCCUCAUUCUACAAAAUCCCAAUUCUUCUCUACCUUCUUCUUCUCCAAACCCUCCAAGAAAACAGCUGUAGUUCUUCAAUUAUUUCACAGGCCCAGAAUCAGAAGCUGGCAUAGAAGAGAAGGACAGAGAGAUCGAGGGAUAUGGGGGAAGUGGGAAACUCGUUCCGAGUUUGUUCUUGCAUACCCUAACCCUAGAAUGCGUAUUUAUAGCCUGUAACCCUCUUAUUAGGGAGUUAAUCUUUAUUGCAAAUAAGAAAAGCCCCAUUACUAACUUUUACUUUAUUCUUAUUCUUAUUGUAAUUUACCGAUGUCAUUUUCUGUAAUUUACUCUCCAAAAACCCUAGAGUGGUCGAUGUGAAUUGAUCGUCCAACUGCCCUACAUCUCAUUGUCACGAAUAAAAACGAUUCCCACGUAACCACGGCAAAACCAAAAAUGAUGAGAAAACCUUUCGCUUGGCCCAUUACAGUGACUAGAUUCUAACAGAAUGACCAGCUAAGCACCCUUUUUUAAUUUAAAGCUCCAUGCCCCUAAAUAGUAAUGCCAUGCUCUUACAUUUUUCUUUCUGUUUUUCUCUUUAUAAUAUAAAGUUGUCAGGGCGGAAAUUCCUUCGUUCAUGGAAAAUACCCAUAGUGAAGGGAUAUUGUAUUAUUAUUAUUAUUUUUGCAAUAAUCUCCACUACAAGGAAAAAGAUAUAUGGUGACAUUUAUAAUAAGUCACUAUAAACAUAGGGUGUCACUACAACAUAGCGUCACCUUAUCCACUGACACCAUAGAGGGUAUCAAUUGGUGACGUAUUUGGAAGCGACACCAAAGCAGAUAAAUGGUGACACAUUCAGAAGAGACACCAUAUAUUUUUAGUGAUGCUUAAUUUGAUAUAGAGUUGUAUGAGAUAUAUAAGGUGUCAUAUUAAAUGCAUCAUCUUUGAGUUAUGGUGUCACGUUAAAUGUAUCACCUUUAAUUUAUGGUGUCACAUCAUUGUAAAUGAUUAUGGAAGAUAUGGUUGUUUUUUGUUGAUUAGUUUGUAGAUUUUUGUAAUGCUUAUUAAUAAAUAAGACUAACAUGUGUAAAUUGUCCAUAAAUAUAAUAAUCAUAUUACAUUUAACUUAUAUUUUCAUAAUGCUUAUGAAUUAAUUUGUAACAUAUUACAUCAUCCAAUAAUAUUUGUAUAUCAAAUGUUCACAAAAUGAUAGUACAUCAAACACAUCAAACCCACCAAAACUAAAAAAGAAAAGUAAAUACACAUUAAAACAUGAUUUAGAAAUGUUAAGCUUCCCAACAUUCAUGUAUAUAUACUUGCAUUUCAUAUGCAUAAAACCGGUUAACCAUAAAAUGACACAAGAGUUGCAUCCAAAAACCCAAAAUUCUCAAUUCCAAAUAAAGUAACAUUUAUGUCCUAUAAUGUAUGACAUAAGAGUCAUAUCUAAAAACCUAAAUCUUGUUGCCUCUUUCUCCUUUCUUUUUAUUCUUCAUAUUGUCCUCCCAAGAGUGUAUACCUGUAUUUCAUAGUUUAAUGAGUUUUAGAGUUCUUAUUGAAAAUAAAAAUGUGAUGUUAUAAACAAUAAACAAAUCUAAGUACUAAUGUUUUCUUUUUCUUUUUCCUUUUUCUCAUUUUGGUAUAAAAAUAGUUCAUAAAGAAUAAGUAAUGUUAUACAAUAUCAAUGGAAAAUUCAAUCAUAUAACAACUAAGGGACUUACCAUGAAUGAUCACGAUACAUCAAUAUGAUUCAUGAUUAGUUAUAACACAAAAUUAAUCUAUUUUUCUCUAAUUUCAUCAAAUUCUACUUGAGAAUAUGUUUUAUUUGUCAUCAAACUGAAAUCAAAUGAGAAUAACAUUAAUAUCACAAUAAUUGAAAGUAUAAAAUUAUGUACAAUUCAUUAAACGAGUAAAACCUUUGAUGCAAUAACUGUAAAAUCAACAAUUAUUUCUUUAAUGAAUCUCAUAACAAAGUAGUCAUAUUUGAACUCAGUAUUAUUUUUUUACUAUUAAAUUAUUUUUAAACAAAAUAACAAUUAUUAAUAUAUUGGUUCAUUUUUAAAUACUUUCAUAAGAAUAUAUUUUAACUACAAGUUAUUUUAAUUUAUCAAAAGAUUUUUAGGAAAUGAGCUAUUAUCCAUUUAUUAUUUUCUUAUUUUUCAAAAAAUAUUUUCAGUCAUUUUAUACAUGUUUUCAACUACUAAAAUUAUUGUUUUUGUAGAAUAAACAAAGAAGCAUACACUUCUCCUCCACUCACUAAGUCAACUAUUACAAUCACCAUAAUAUUUUAUUCACUUACCAAUAUCUCAUUCCAUUUAGAUAACUCUCUCAACAAAAUCAUUUCUACAAUACUUUUUACUCUCCUAUGAUAUUGAAUAUUUUAUUCCAUUUAGGUGACUCUCAACACAAAGAAAAGUAGGAAUGUCUUCUUAGGUUAACUAAACAAAAACUUUUUUUUUUACUUUACAAUAUGUAUGAAAAAAACAAUUAUUUAUUACAAGGAAUGUGGUACAAAGGUCAUUUCAUUUUUAAAGAAUUUUUUAGAAUUUCUUAAACAUUUACAAAAAAUAGAAUCUAACAAUUUUAUUUCUAAAAAAAUUGAUCAAUUCAAAAAAGAAAGAAGAAUGUUAUUUUUUAAGAAAAGUUAAUAAACCAUUUUAUUCUUGAAUUAUCUAAACAAAACUUACUAAAAAAUAUUUUAUCCCAAAUUUAUUUUCAAAACUUUCUUAUUGAAAACUAUCUCAUAUAUAAAUUAUUUUAUUAUAUAGAGAAAUUCUUAUUUUAUUCUUUUUUUAGAGAAAAAUUCACUUGUUUAUUAAAUAUCAAAGAAGUCUAUUUUUAUGUCUAUUACAUAUAUAUAUAUAUAUAUAUAUAUAUAUAUAUAUAUAUAUAUAUAUAUAUAUAUAUAUAUAAAUUCUCUUAUUUUCAUACAAGAAAUUUCCAUUUAUGCCUAAAAUACUUUUAGAAAAAUCAUUGCCAACAAAAUUUUAUUUUUAAAAUUAUUUUCAACAUUCUUAUUUAAAAAAAUUAUCAUUGGAUUAUUUUCAAAAAGGACAGUCCUAAAAAAAUUAACCAUUUAUAACCCAAUUUAAACUCAAAACUUAUCCCCAAUAUUAUUUUAUAUUCCUAAAUUAUUUUCAAACAAAAUAACAAUUAUUAAUAUUUUGAUUCAUUUUUAAAUACUUUCACAAAAAUAUAUUUUAACCACAUAUUAUUUUAAUUUAUCAAAAUAUUUUUAGGAAAUGAGUUAUUUUCCAUUUAUUACUAUCCUAUUUUUCAAAACAUAUUUUCAAGCAUUUCAUUCACAUUUUAAAAUUUCAAAUACUAAAAUUAUUGUUUUUAUAAAACAACAAAGCAUGUAAAUUUCAACUACUAAAAUUAUUGUUUUUAUAGAAUAAACAAAGCAACAUACACUUAUCUUCCAUUUACUAAUUCAACUAUUACAAUCACCCCAAUAUUUUGUUCACCUACCAAUAAUUCAUUCCAUGUAGGUGACUCUAAAAAAAAAAGUCAUAUUUAUAAUACCCUUUACGACUCUAAUACCCAAUAUUCUAUUCUAUUUAGGUGACUCAAUACAAAGAAAGUGGGAAUGUUUUCUUAGGUUAACCGAAGAAAACCCUAAAUAGCUUAAGUGCUUUUGGAUUAAUUGAGUAUCAUCUUGUAGUAGAUGUCAAUCUCUAUUGUUAGACUUCACCAAAAAGCUCCUAGCACGGUGGAAAAAAGUAUCAAAUAUAGUCAAGUCUUCAAUAAAAUACUAUUUCAUGCGAAAAAUUACUACAAACUAGUGUAUCUCUCAUUCUCAAUUAGACAAAAUUUUUAAAAAUAAUUCAUUUUUCUUGUUUUCAUUUGUUUUAGGGCUUAUUAGCAAUGAAACAAAAAAUAUGUUAGAAUGUUAAACCUAGUUUUCACUUCCCUGGAACUCGAUAAAAAACACCAUUUACAAAACCCACAUCAUAGAUAUACUAAAUCAAGAGAUAUAAAACAAUUAUACUAACAAAGUUUUUUGCAUUAAUAAAAAAAAUGAAGAUGGUAGAUAAGAGAUUUUGACUUACCCGAGAUUUUACGAAGCAAAGAAUAUCAAUUAUGGGUGUGCCGACCAUGGGUGUGAGAAGAAGGAGAAGAAAACGAUGGUUAGGGUUAAGCAAUAAGAUCUUUUAUAUUAGUUAAUGUAUAUAUGGAAACAAUGGACUUUUCAUAAAUUGUUCCUACUCACUAUUUUUAAAAAGGGCCCAUUAAGUUAUAAAAUUUAAAACUUUUUAUUUCAUAUGGUGUCACUUCCAAAAAAUGACACCGUAAAUCUGAAAUUAGCAUCAUCUAACUAUCCUAAUUGAAGAUUUUUUAUAUGAUGUGUCACCUUUAUAAAUUUUAAGUUCAAUGGUGUCAUUAUUUUAAAUGCGACACCAUAAAUAGUGACAUCAUAUAUUAUUUUUGUAGUAGUGCUCGACCAUGAAAUGGUUAAAAUUAACUUUCAAUAAUCCUAUAAUUCUUUCUUUAUUUUAAAAUAAAUGAUAGGUGAUCAAUUGUAUUGUUUGGUAUUGUACGGAGUGCUUUUGUGUAAUUUUUUUCUUAAAAGAAUUUUCUUAGUCUAAAUCAGACUCUAAAAGGAAGUUGUGGCAAGAGAUGAAAGCUGAAACUAGGAUUUGAAAGCUAGGAUUGCUAAACCUGUGCCUCUACCUUUUAAGAGAAUCCGACCUCAUGGAACAAAAAAUGUUGCAUGUAUAUGUUGGACUUCGGGUCAUGUUUAACCCAAUUGGAGCGCCAAUAGUGGGUUAAGCCCCAAGUUGAUUGAUAAAUAUUACAUUGAGAUUCUGGUCUUAUCUAAUAAUUUAAGAUAAAAAAGCACAUAUCCUAAUCGACUCGAGUUAAGGAGAUUUUAGGAGAGUCCUUAAAUAAGGGCCUCGACUAAAAAUCACAUAUCUCUUUUUUCAAUACGAAUGUGAAAAAGUCUCUCCUCUCUUUACAUUUCUCUCAUACUCUCUGGAAAGACAAAUUCUCAUAACAUUUUUGAGUUGUGGAUAUUUUUGGUUAUUCGAGUAAUAUUUGAUAGAUGAUGUUAGAGAACAUUAGUUCAAUUGUGCGUUACAAUUGUUGCAUCUAUUGAUUAGUUAGGAUGUAGCUUAGUUAGUUCUUCUUUUGUUACAACAAAUUUCUCAAAUAGUUAUAGACUACUUACUACUUAAAAAUCAUGUGUGUAUGUGGAAUGAAGACAAAUGAUAAAUCUAGAAGGGAUUGAUAAUCCUCUUCUUCCCAUUCUAUUAUAUUUUCUUUCAUUCCAACAUGGUAUUAGAGUAGUACACAUCCACUAUAGGAGACACCUCAAGAACCAACAGAUUUAGCCCUAUCUCCUUCCCCCACCUAAUCUCAUCCAAACUAGACAACAACCUUUUGGUUUGGAGAAAACAAAUACUAACCACAUUAAAAGGACACAAGCUGCAACACUUUCCCUUCGAGUCCUCAUGCUUACCAUUAAGAUUUCUAUCAAUCUGAGGAUGAUGAAGCCCACUAUCACAUAAACCUUGAGUUUCAAAACUAGGAAACAAUAAGAUUAGCUCAUCAUGUCAUGGAUACUUGCAUCCACACGUGUUUAGUGAGUUGUGACACUUCAACCUAGGUAUGAAAGAUUAUUAAUUUAUAUUUUGCUACUCAAGUAUGUUGAGGCAUUGCGUCCCUGGCGAUCCACGUAGUUGCCAAAUGGAUGGACGCACUAUCUCAACCAAUAUAGAUUCCUGGUUCAAUCGUUCCUGCAAAAGGCGUCCGGACAAGGUGUCCGGACACACCUUCCGAUGGUUUUGUCAGCCAUGGUUAGAGAGAAUAAUCAGUUGGUCUUUUACUAGGUAUAACAAGCUUACCUUCCUUUUUGUGUGAAGGUCUAUAUAUAUAGUGUUUAGGAGCUUUGUUUAUCUCUUUAAUGGUAGGGAGAUAUUUUGGUUUGUCAUGAUGCCUCUAAGUGGUGGCAGAGCCAUCAUCACCCUACGGGCGGCUGACAGAGAUCGUGGGAGGCACCGCGGUUGUCAGAGAUCAUUGGAGGUGACUUGCCAUCAUUUCAUUCCUGUCCUUUCACUCUAUAGGUGGCGGAACGUGGGCCGUGGCAGGCUGUUGGAAUGACGUGCAAGACCUGCUUACUUCAGUCAAUGAUCCGGACAAAACAUAUCUAGAUAGGAUAUGUCGGUCGUCCGGAUGUGAUAUGGCGGUCGUCCGGAUGUGAUGUUUUGCGAGUGUCGUGUGCUUCUUCCUGAGGGUGUCCGGAUAGGGAAAGCGCGCCACGUGUCCUCUUAGGGAAAUCCGGAUGGGGAUAAUCCGCAUAGAAAUGUGUGCCACGUGCCACCAGGAAAUGUGUACCACGUGUCAUUAGGGGGAGGGGUCCCUACAAAGUACAUGCCGUAGUAAUUCAAUUCAAGACUCAAUCGCAAACACAAAGAAAUGAGAUCUACUUGUAAAUGAGCUCCAUAAACUAUGCUAUCAUGGUAUAUGAGCUCAAAAUGAGGACCACUAGGACCCAUAGGAGUAUUAACUACUUUAGAAUUCAAUUUUGAAGUUGAUUUAGGAUUCUAUUAAAGAGAAUUAACUACACUCUAAUAUCUUAUGUAAAUAACAAAAAGACAAAGUUUGAGUUGGUGACCUACUAUCCAUUGCAUGCAGAUUUCCUAUGAAUUGAUGCCCAUAAUCUAAUAAGACAAUGUUAUCGCCUAUCAAGAUUACCUCUCCAAUUCAUGAGUUACAAAUCCCACUUAUUAUGUGAUCAAUUGACAUAUUCCAACUCCAAGGAGCAUAUGUCAAAAUUCUACCAAAGAAAAUGUUAUGACCAUAGUUUUUUAAAUCACAUGUUUUUUUGGAUCACCCAAUGGGACACAUUGUCUCAAUCCAUGAGAUAUCAUGGUGUUUUUAUUGAGAAUACUAAUUGUUAUUAGCCUCCGUCAAUAGUGACCUAAUCCAUAGGGAUAUAUGACCACUUUAGGGUCUUACUUACAAGUUAAAACCUCCUAUUGACUUUGACACAGACUCAAUAUUCUUUUCAAGUUGAGAGUCCAUGUGGUAUAGUAACUUGAUGAAUCAUAAUAAUUGAUAGUCUUACGUCAUGAUUCAUUGUAGGUCAUGUCUAGUGUGUAUUACAUAUAUUAGUGCACUCACUAUGGGAAAACUAGCUUAAUAGCCAAAAUAAGUCAUUCUUCUAAUUAAGAGGUAGUGUACUACAAUCUCAGAUGGAUUGCUCAAAUCCAUGAACCAACUAUGACCAACUCAUCACUCUAUACGGAACCUAUGACUUGGAUUCUCUAUGCAAUUCCUAAUGCACUUAAGUCAUAUACAAUGUAAGUGAUGUGAGACAUGUAUGCUCAAAUAACCAAUUAAUGCAAAUGAGAUAAUAAAAAGAAACCAAACAACAUAAAUAAAUAAAUUUAUAAAUGAAUUUUUAUCUAUUACAUCAUGUCAUGUUUUCUAGGGUUCAAUCCUAGCAUUACCAUAUCUACCAUACCACAUUCGAUCAUUGAAGUAUUUAGUCUUAGUCAUUGGAAAUAAGCCAUGCCUGAUGAAUAUUUAGCACUUUUAUGCAACAAUAAUUGAAACCUUGUUCCACUUCCUCCUAAUCACAAACCCAUUGGCUGCAAAUGGGUUGUCAAAAUUAAAGAAAAUCUUGAUGGCACCAUUAAAAAAUACAAAGCCCAACUAGUUGCCAAAGGAUUUCAUCAAAUUGCUGACUUUGAUUUCAAUGAGACAUUUAGUCCAGUUGUAAAACCAACUACCAUCCAAAUUGUUCUUGCCAUUACUUGAGGUAUGUAUCAAAAAGUUCGCCAACUUCAUGUUAAUAAUGUUUUUCUCAAUGGUGACCUUUAAGAAGAAGUUUACAUGUGUCAACCAAUUGGUUUUGUUGAUCCUAAUGCUCCUGACUUUGUGUGCAAACUCACAAAGUUCCUUUAUGGUCUUAAACAAGCUCCUAGGGCUUGGUUUGAGAAGCUUUGCCAAGCUCUUAUUCAUCUUGGUUUUACAUCAACAAAAUUUGAUACAUAUUUGUUUAUUAAUAUUACUUUACAAGAGUACUUUACCUACAUCCUUAUAUAUGUGGAUGACUUUUUACUAACUAAUAACAAUGAGACAUUCCUUUAACAAGUGAUCACUCAAUUCAACCACACUUUUAUCUCAAGGAUCUUGGGGAAGUUAAUUACUUUCUGAGCAUCCAAGCCAAAGCCUCUCUUGUUGGGUUACAUCUAUUUCAAACUAAGUAUGUCUUAAACAUCUACAAAGAACCAAUAUGCUUCAUGCCAAACUGGUUCCCAUACUAUUGGUCCCUAAUUAGCAUUUGUCCGCAUCUAGUACUAAUCAUUUUUUCAACCCUCAGCUCUAUUGAAUCACUAUUGGUGCUCUUCAAUAUGUCACUAUUACUUGCCCAGAGACACAAAUAGUGUUAAUUGUGUAUGUUAAUUUAUGAAAGUUCCUCUCAUUGCUCAUUGGAAAGCUAGAAAACAAAUACUUCACUACUUAGUUGGAACUUUUUACCAUAGACUACAUCUCCAACGAAGCUUCACCUUAUACCUUAAAUUACAUGCUUUGGUGAUGUUUGAUUACUACUCAAAAAGUGCUAUUUGAUAGCCUUUAAUUAAUCCUUUUUAACACUUUUGAGUAGUAGUUUAGGCCUUUUAACUCAAUUGACAUGUUAAGGAUCCUUUAAAGCAAUUUUGAUCACUUUGUGCAAGUUUUGGUGUUUUUGUUAGUAUUGUGAUCACCAAAGCAAGUCAAGAAUGAGGAGAGAUAUGAGGAAUCUUGGGCAAAUCUUAGAAUUCAAUUGCCAAGAGUGAAUCCGGAUUGCAAGGAGAAAAAGCAAAGAGAAUCUGUCAUGGAGCAUAUUCUUGAUGACAGUCGUAGCAGCCACUUUUGGGGCACUUCCUGAAGUCCAAAUGAUGCAAGCUAUAUACCAUUUCAAAGCUCAGGAAGUCAAAAAUCCAAUGCUUCAAACGGUGCGCGAUUUGGAGUUGAAACGAAGAAGUUGCAGCCAUUACAAGCCAGUCACUCUGAAGUGUUGCGGAAUCAGCCUUUUGUUGCGAGAAUUUCGCAACACUUUUGUACAGUAAGGUGUUUCUCCUUCUGACGAUGCACGAACCAUGCCGCGAGAAGGGAGCUGGAAACUUCAAGGUGGAAGCCAACUUCGCAGCCCUAUGAAGACAGCUUGGUCUUGCGAAAUAAUUUCGCAGCCCUCUUGGGUGUCUGCGAAAUUUCGCAGGCACCACUUUUCUCCUGCGAAAUGGCUCCUGAAGCCUCCCGAAGCUUGCUACCGACAUUGGGAGAUAUUUUCCAUUAGAUUUUUGUUGUCUAAAUCCCAAAAUACUCCUUGUAAACCACCAAUUACAUGAUUCCUUAGUUUUUAAGUUAGUAAAAAGACCAAAUAUCUAUGUAACAAUUAGUUUUAUAUUGGUUUGAUAUAAAUACCUCUCGGGAGCCUGUUCUCGGGGAGGAGUUCUUUCGGUAACCAUUUGGUAAGCAAGUAAAGUCUUUUCUUUCUACUGCCUUACAUUCUCACUUUGUAUUUUCAUUUUAUUUCUAAGUUAUGAAUUCUCUGAGGAGUUUUCCCCAGAGAAUGAGUAACUAAACCUCCAAUUCCUUGGAGCUAAGGUUGCCGGGGAAGGUUCCAAGUGCAAGAAUGCAAAGCUCUGUGGUUUUAGCUAGUAAUGAAGAGGAAGUGAAAUCCUUUAGUGAUUUCAAUGUUUUUAGUUAACUUAAAACACCUUGGAGUCACCUAGGCCAACACUUGGUAAGGCAAGUGAUUUCCAACCGUGGAAAUGCACUAGUUUACCCCUUGCGAGCCUCUGGUAGGUGACUUCAAGGUAGGAUUUUCUGGAAUUACCAACACUUGGUAAGCUUUUGGACUCUUAGGAGGCAUCCAUUAGUUAUCUCUUGCGAGUUUGUGAAGGGAAGUCCAAGGUUAAAGAUCACCUUGAAUGGUAAGUGCUCGUGAGAGGCAUGAACCAUUGCAAGUUGCAUCAGUGAGAGAAUUAAAGUGAAAUCUAAUUGAAGGAGUCUCUGUACAUCACCGGUUAGAGACUUGACUCUAAGUUGAAUCUCUAAUGCGAGGAAAUGAACCAUCUGACCGGAGCUAUGUCUUUUGCAUGAGGAACCACCCCAGUGAACCUAAAUCUCCAAGGAAUGCUUUUCUUCCUAAAUUAUUCCAAACUUCUGUUAAGUUAGUUAGUUUAAAUCUCAACCUUUACCAAUCAAAGUUUGUAUUUUAUUUCUUAAACUAACCGUGAAAUGAAACAAAACCAAUUCACUUGGAAUUGGUAUCCUUGAUUGCUUGCAAAUCAUUCCCAGUGAACGAUCCUUAGAGCCACUAUACUAUAGUAGCUUUGUAUUUGCUACCCUAGUGUAUGGUGUUAUAGGUAUAAAUUUUGUUGAUCACUUCCUCAAUCAAGGAGCACCAGCUGAACACAAAUCAGCUGAGACACCAAUUGGGCAUGAGUCAAAUGGCGCCGUUGCCGGGGAAUGAGUGUCAAGUUCAUUGUGAUACCAUUUUUGAGCACUUGUGAUUUUCAUCACAAGUUGGUAAAGUUUCUUUCACUUUACUAAUUUUCAUUCUCUCUUUGUUUAUUUACAAUCUAAGUUUAUCUUUUUAAAAUUUAGUCUAGUUUAAUUUUGUUGUUGUAGCCCUGUUUUUCUUGUUGUCCUCUGUUUUUAUUUAAGUUGUAGCUGAAUACUAGUUGUGUAUGCCCAAGUGGAUACGAGACAGUGGAGGAAGGCUUGUUAAGUGUGAUACACCUCAGAAAGGAGAAUUUGAAGUAAUCUUGAAUAUCAUGGAGGCUGCACCUGAAGAUCAGCAUAGUCACCAAGGUCGUCAAGACAAUCUCAAUGAAUUCAGAUCAAUGAGGGACCGUAUGCAUCCACCUCGUAUGAGUGCACCAUCAUGUAUAGUGCCCCCUACAGAGCAGCUAGUGAUCAGACCAUAUCUUGUUCCACUUCUACCAACUUUCCAUGGGAUGGAAAGUGAGAAUCCGUAUGCACACAUCAAGGAAUUUGAAGAUGUUUGUAAUACAUUCCAAGAGGGAGGAGCUUCAAUUGACUUGAUGAGGCUUAAGUUAUUUCCUUUUACUUUAAAGGAUAAGGCCAAAAUUUGGCUUAAUUCUUUAAGGCCUAGGAGUAUCCGCUCUUGGACUGAUUUACAAGCUGAGUUCCUCAAGAAAUUUUUUCCUACUCAUAGAACAAAUGGCUUGAAAAGGCAAAUUUCAAACUUCUCAGCUAAAGAGAAUGAGAAAUUCUAUGAGUGUUGGGAAAGAUACAUGGAAGCUAUAAAUGCUUGUCCUCACCAUGGCUUUGAUACUUGGCUACUGGUGAGUUAUUUUUAUGAUGGUAUGUCCUCCUCAAUGAAGCAACUCCUCGAGACAAUGUGUGGAGGAGAUUUCAUGAGCAAAAAUCCAGAGGAAGCUAUGGAUUUCUUGAGCUAUGUAGCUGAUGUUUCAAGGGGAUGGGAUGAACCAACUAAAGGAGAAGUGGGAAAGAUGAAGUCUCAGUUGAAUGCUUAUAAUGCAAAAGCUGGGAUGUAUAAUUUGAAAGAAGAUGAUGACAUGAAAGCAAAGUUGGCAGCUAUGACAAGAAGAUUGGAGGAGCUGGAGCUGAAAAGAAUGCAUGAAGUGCAAGCUGUUGCUGAAGCACCAGUGCAAGUGAAGCUGUGUCCCAAUUGUCAAUCAUUUGAACAUUUGGUGGAGGAGUGCCCUGCAAUUUCAGCUGAAAGGGAAAUGUAUAGAGAUCAAGCAAAUGUUGUUGGACAAUUCAGGCCCAAUAACAAUGCUCUUUAUGGAAAUACCUACAAUUCAAGUUGGAGGAAUCAUCCAAAUUUCUCAUGGAAGGCCAGAGCAACUCAAUACCAACAGCCGGAUCCACCAUCUCAGCAAUCUUCAAGUAUUGAACAAAUAAUAGCUAAUCUCAGCAAGGUAGUGGGAGAUUUUGUGGGAAAGCAAGAAGCCACCAAUGCUCGAGUGGAUCAAAGAAUGGACAGAGUGGAUCAAAGAAUGGACAGAAUGGAGAGUAUGUUGAACAAAAGAAUGGAUGGAAUGCAAAAUGAUAUGAAUCAAAAAUUUGAUAACAUCCAAUAUUCAAUCUCCAGGCUUACAAAUUUGAAUACACUGCAAGAAAAGGGAAGAUUUCCUUCUCAACCUAACCAAAAUCCCAAAGGUGUCCAUGAAGUGGAAAGCCUUGAGGGAGAAUCAUCACAGGUGAAAGAUGUGAAGGCUUUGAUCACUCUAAGGAGUGGUAAGAAAAUUGAGCAGCCAACACCUAAGCCACAUGUUGAGAAAGAAGAAGAGAUAAAGAAAUGGAAGGAAAUGGAAGAUAAAGAGAGUGAGAUCAGUGAAGAAAAGAAGGAAUCUGAUUCAACAAUCAAAGCAAUUCCAGAGAAAGAGCUUCUGAAGGAAGAAAUGCUGAAGAAAUCAACUUCUCCACCUUUUCCUCAAGCAUUACAUGGGAAAAAGGGGGUUAGAAAUGCAGCUGAAAUCCUAGAAGUAUUGAGGCAAGUGAAAGUUAAUAUUCCACUGCUGGAUAUGAUCAAACAAGUUCCAACGUAUGCAAAAUUCCUAAAGGACUUGUGUACUAUCAAAAGAGGGUUGACUGUAAACAAGAAAGCCUUCUUGACUGAGCAAGUAAGUGCAAUCUUACAGUGUAAGUCUCCUUUGAAGUACAAAGACCCUGGAAGUCCUACCAUUUCAGUCAUGAUUGGAGGAAAGGUAGUGGAGAAAGCCUUGCUAGACUUGGGAGCAAGUGUGAAUUUGCUUCCAUACUCUGUCUACAAGCAACUAGGACUUGGAGAGUUGAAGCCAACAGCAAUCACUUUAUCUUUGGCAGAUAGAUCAGUGAAAAUUCCAAGAGGAGUAAUUGAGGAUGUAUUGGUUCAAGUAGAUAAUUUCUACUAUCCUGUAGAUUUUGUUGUUCUUGAUACUGAUCCAACUGUAAAGGAAGCUAAUUUAGUUCCUAUCAUCCUUGGAAGGCCAUUUCUUGCAACUUCAAAUGCAAUCAUCAACUGUAGAAAUGGGCUUAUGCAACUCACUUUUGGUAAUAUGACCCUGGAUCUCAAUAUUUUCUAUAUGUCUAAAAAGCAAAUCACUCCAGAAGAAGAAGAAGGACCAGAAGAGUUAUGUAUAAUUGAUACUUUGGUGGAGGAGCACUGCAAUCAGCAUAUGCAAGACAAGUUGAGUGAAAGUCUUGUGGAUAUUGAGGAAGGUUUUUCUGAAUCUCCUAUUGGGCUUGCUACUCUACAAAGUUGGAGAAAGAUAGAAGGAAUUCUACCUCUGUUCAAUGAAGAAGAUGAGGCAGCUGUUGAAAAAGAAAUUCCAAAACUCAAUCUGAAGCCUUUACCUGUGGAGCUGAAAUAUACAUAUCUUGAAGAAAAUAAUCAAUGUCCUGUCGUAAUCUCUUCAUCUCAAACCAAGUCUCAAGUGAAGGAUGCAAGCUUCAAAUGGGAUCCGGGCAAACUGAAUCAGGAAGGGCAAAAAGUUCUGAUGUAUGACACAAGACUCCAUAUCUUUCCUGGGAAGCUCAAGUCAAGGUGGAUUGGUCCAUUUGUUAUUCACCGAGUAUAUUCCAAUGGAGUGGUGGACUUAUUGAAUUCCAAUGGCAAGGACAGCUUUAGAGUCAAUGGAUAUCGUCUUAAGCCGUUCAUGGAGUCAUUCAAAUCAGAAAAGGAGGCAAUCAACCUCCUUGAACCUCAAAAAGCUUAAGUGAAAAGGGUUUGCUGGGCGUGGUUUUACCACAGUCCAAAAUUUUUGUAAAUUUUGUAAAUUUUCAAGUUGUUUCCAUACUUUUGAUCUUAGUUUUUGAUUUUAAAUCAUGUUUUUAGGUGUGUUUUAAUCGUUUUAUAUGAUCCCAGGCGGAAGAAAUUUCAAGGGGAUUGAAAAGAAAAAAAUCGGGUCGAAAUUGGAGCCGAAACAGAGCAAAAACAGGGGAAAAACAGAGCUCUGCGAAAUUUCGCAGGGUGAAGGAAACUUCUGCGAAAUUGGCAUUUUGCUGCCAACCCAUUCCGCAGCACUAUAGAAGCCUCUGCGAGUGUGUUUCGCAAUUGCGAAAGUGGAUUUGGCACACGAGUGCCACUUCGCAGCACAGUGACAUCAAUUUCGCAGCUGCGAAACGCGUUGCGAAAUGAAAAAGCGUGAUUUCGCACCAAAAGUCCUAUUCCGCAGAGUAUUUCGCAAUUGCGAAAGUGGUUUUGGCACACGAGUGCCACUUCGCAGCACAGUGACAUCAAUUUCGCAGCUGCGAAACUCACUGCGAAGUUGCUGCGAAAAUGGCAAGUUGCUGCGAAAUUGGCGUUUUGUUGCGGAACUUAAACUGACCCCUGGGCUUCCGUUUUUCCUAUUUAUACCGGUCAAAAAUGCUGCGAAAAGGGUUUCAAAAAUCAGAGAGCCAUUCUCGCAGCCCCUUCAUCUUCUUCGCCAAGCCACGCCGUCCGAACCUCCGGUCGUCUUCUCCGCUUAGCAACGCCGGCCAAAGAUCGAUAUCUCCAAAAUGGCACGAACGCGAGGAGCAAAAUCUUCAUCUCCUUCGAACCGCAAAAGGAGUCUGCGAAAGGAGCCAAGUCCAGGCUCUGUUCCAGAACCUGCUCCCCAGCCUUCGCCGUCGAGACCACAACCUUCUCCAGUGAAGCCGGCGCCACCAAAGCCGCCGGCAAGACGAUAUUUGACAAGAUCAGGCGGUCAGCCAUUGAAGAAGAAGCCCAGGGUUGAGAGCUCUGAACCAAUUGAUUUGACUGAGCAAUCCCCUGAGCAGUCCCCAAAUCCUUCACCGGUUCAAACUCCAGUGCCGUCACCGGUUCCCUCGCCAAUUCCCUCACCUGAAGCAACUCCAAUUUCAUCGCCGGUACCAUCUCCGGCACCCCAAGAAAAAGCUCAGGAGCCUCCAGCGCCAAUUCCAGAGCCCCAAAUUGCAGCUGAAGCACCUCUGGAAGAAGUGAUCCGAAGGCCAUUGCUCCCCCAGCCCCCAAUCGAAGGAAACUUGGAUUGUCGAACACGGGCAUUCCAUUCUGAAUUGAGCUUCGACUUAGCAGCAUUCAGAGUGAGGCCAGAGCUUGCCCAAUCCUUCCAGCUGCUGAGGAGAUAUCAUAUGGAGCAUCUGCUAGCUCCAAGGGAUUUUUUCUAUCCCCGGGUAGUCACGGACUUCUACCAGACCAUGACAACCAAAGAAGUAAGAAAUCCAACUCUGAUCCAUUUCAUAAUUGAUGGAAGGCAUGGUAUUUUGGGAGCAAGACACAUUGCUGAAGCUCUGCAAAUUCCUUUUGAGCCAACCCAAUUCGACAAUUUUAAAGCUUGGACAAAUCCAACUGAGUUAGAGAUGGUUCGCACACUAACCAGGGGAGCUGCAAAUCGGUCACACCUGUUGAGGGGGGAGCUACCUCCAGUGAUGUUUUUGAUUGAUGCCUUUUUGAGGCAUAAUAUCUAUCCCCUGCAGCAUUGGACCCAAAGAAGGGGAGUUCUCUUGGAAGCUCUAUACAAGAUGUCUGAAGGAUUCUUCUUUGGGCCUCAUCAUCUGAUCAUGGCAGCCCUUCUAUACUUUGAGGAAAAGGUUCACAAGAAGAAGCUUCAAAGAGCAGAUUGCAUUCCACUCCUCUUCCCACGGCUGCUAUGCCAAGUUUUGGAGCAUCUCGGAUACCCCUCUGAGCCUCAGUAGGAAAGAAAGAAAAUAUGCCGUGAGCCAUUUACCCUUGAUAAAUGGAAUAAUAUGACGGCCUACAAAAUUGAUCAGCCUGGGCAGCCUCAGCCAGCAGCAAGGAGAGCCUCCCCAAGACAUCCACCUGAAGGUAUUACACUUGCUACUCCUGCCAUCCCUCGAGCUUCACCAGCUGCACCUGCUCCAUCACAGCCAUCCACAUCAGCUGAGCCGAGGAUGGCCAUCCCUAUAUCCGAAUAUCGAGAGCUGUGCCGUGCAUUGGAGACUCUUACAGCUUCCCAGAGCAAUNNNNNNNNNNNNNNNNNNNNNNNNNNNNNNNNNNNNNNNNNNNNNNNNNNNNNNNNNNNNNNNNNNNNNNNNNNNNNNNNNNNNNNNNNNNNNNNNNNNNACCUAAAGGUAUUACACUUGCUACUCCUGCCAUCCCUCGAGCUUCACCAGCUGCACCUGCUCCAUCACAGCCAUCCACAUCAGCUGAGCCGAGGAUGGCCAUCCCUAUAUCCGAAUAUCGAGAGCUGUGCCGUGCAUUGGAGACUCUUACAGCUUCCCAGAGCAAUCUUGCUCAGGAGUUGGCAGCCAUCAAAGCAUGCCAGGAGCAGAUGUUAGCCUCUCAGGCUCAACAAGCUGCCAUCCUAAGGCAGCUUCAAGUCCAUUUCGAUCUGCCACAAGCUGUAGAGCCUUCCACUGAGACUCCACCAGAGCCACACUCUCAGCCUUCAGAGUCUCAAGCUCCAGAGCCCGAAGCCUCAGCUGAUCCACCUACUGGAGAGGCAGAUCCUUCUGCCUAGCACUAUCACCCCACUUAUCAGACAUUAUAUAUAUUUGCUGUUUAUGUUUUUAUGCAUGUUUGUUUUGUUUUAGUUGAAAUGAAAUCCCAGUAUUUUGGUAUAUAUAUGGGAUUCCUUGUGUUACUUGUCUUUAGCAUUGUAAUCAAAUGAACUCAAAGUAAUACAAGUUGAAUAUUUCUUGUUAAAAAUUAGCAUUAAGUUCUCCUUAUUUCCUUUUCUCACAUAUUCUAUUCUUUUUGAAACAUAUGGUUUUCCCCAAUCAAUAUUCGAAUUUGAUAGCAGCAUGGAGGUACCACUUCCUCCUUUUUAUUACAGUCACUCAAAUCACAUUGAGGACAAUGCUCAGUUCGGUUGGGGGGUAUGAGGAAGGAAGUAUUCUAAACCUUUUUGGUAUUGCAAUUAUAUUGGUUAAUUAGUUGUAGUUUUUACUUUUUACUCUAGUGUUACUCUAUUCUCCAUGAAUUUUGAGGAAAAAUUUUCAAAUUAAACCAAGAGAAAUUGAAAUGUUGUUUUUCACUUGACUUAGAGUAUGGAUUAUGCUUACUAAAGUAGUUCAAUUGUUGAAACUUCUACUGAAAUUGAAUUGAGUUCUUCUACUUUAAGCUAUCCACACACUGUGCACAUUAGUUUCCGAUUAUAACAUGAAAAGCUAUUUCCCUCUUGACUUAGUAUAAUUUUGAAACUUGGUAUAUUUGACCUCAUUUGAUAAAAAUUGAAACACCCUGCAAAAGGCCAAUGAGCCUUUGAAAUAAAGAAAGUUGUUUGCUUGCCUUGAAACCCGAGCAAGGUCUGAGGGGUAUAUGGUGAAAGCCUUUAAAGCCUGGUGCCCUAAGCCUUAAUUGGUUGGGAGUCACCGACCUCAAUGCUCGUUACAAGGGUGAAUAGGUAGAGUUAGCAUAUGGUAGAUGCUUGGGUAUUAGAAAAUUCAUUCUUAAAAGUCCGGGGAAAAAUCCGAGGAGUUAGUGGUUGAAAGAUCCUUAAACUUGGUGCCCUAAACCUUAUUGGGUUGGGAGUCAUCGAUGGACCCCCAUUACAUNNNNNNNNNNNNNNNNNNNNNNNNNNNNNNNNNNNNNNNNNNNNNNNNNNNNNNNNNNNNNNNNNNNNNNNNNNNNNNNNNNNNNNNNNNNNNNNNNNNNGAAACCCUUUAAACCCUGGGGCCCUAAGCCUUUUUUGGUGGGGAGUCCCCGACCCCAAUGCUCUUUACAAGGGGGAAUAGGAAGAGUUAGCAUUUGGUAGAGGUUUGGGUAUUAGAAAAUUCUUUUUUAAAAGUCCGGGGAAAAAUCCGGGGGGUUGGUGGUUGAAAAAUCCUUAAAAAUUGGGGCCCUAAACCUUAAUUGGUUGGGGGUCUUCGGGGGGCCCCCCUUACAUGGGCAAGUUAGAAAGGGUACCCCAUAAAGGUGCCUUUAAAAAAAAAAAAAAAAAAAAAAAAAAAAAAAAAAAAAAAAAAAAAAAAAAAAAGAUGAAAGUGUGUUCUUUUCUUAUUGAUUUUGGUCAGGUUGCUAAAGUGUUGAAAAGAGUUAGGUUGGGGGGUGAGAUUAGUAGCAUAUUAUUCUCGGAACCUAAGGAACCAAUACACAUAGAUUUUUGUGGAAGAUUGAAGUUUAGUUCUUAGAAAGUAGAAAUGAUUUUAAAACUUCAGUUUGCAUAAUGCACUCCCUUGAUUGACAGUGUUUAGCAUAAGUGUUAUGACUCUUGUUGAGAUUUGGG